CCCAGGUUCAAGUGAUUCUCCUGCCUCCCUCUCAAAUACCUGGGAUUACAGGUGCCCACCACCACGCCUGGCUAAUUUUUGUAGUUUUAGUAGAGAUGUGGUUUCAUCAUGUUGGCCAGGCUGGUCUUGAACUGCUGACCUCAAGUUAUCUGCCUACCUUUGCCUCCCAACGUGCUGGGAGGGCGUGAGCCACGGUGCCCAGCCUUUUAUUUUUUAUUUUUAUUUUUAAUCUGUCUUGAUUUUGCUUCCUUCCUAAACAGUUUUGGCUUCGUGAUCACGUAAACCAAGAGUCACAAACUGAAAUGCCAUCAAGGGGCCAAGCAGAGAUGGGGUUUCACCAUGUUGACCAGGCUGGUCUCAAACUCCUGGCCUCAAAUGAUCCACCCGCCUCAGCCUCCUAGAGUGCUGGGAUUACAGGCAUUACCCACUGCACCUGGCCUAGAUGCCAACUUUUAUUGAAGCAGUGGCCUAUAGCAACAGCAGAGGGACUGCUCCUUGCAGAGCAGGGCUACCCUGUAGGUAGUGUGACCAGAGUAGCAGCUCAGGGCAGUUCUGCAGUCAUAUUUACAUUGACCUUUAAUUACAUGCAAAUUAAGGGGCAGACUAUACAGACGUUUCUAGAAAAAGGCUGAUAACUUCUGGGUUGUCAAGUUGUUGCCAUUGAAAGGGGUGGUAGGCUGAGCACAGUGGCUCAGGCCUGUAAUUCCAGCACUUUGGGAGGCCAAGGCAGGUGGAUCAUGAGGUCAAAAGUUCAAGACCAGCCUGGCCAAGAUGGUGAAACACUGUCUCUACUAAAAAUACAAAAAUCAGUUUGGCGCGGUGGCAGGCGCCUGUAAUCCCAG
rnacentral:lncRNA from 10 species